rfam:Hordeum vulgare subsp. vulgare, WGS project CAJW01000000 data, contig: morex_contig_8236
UAAGUAUUCCCUCCGUCCCAAAAUUCUUGUCUUAGAUUUGUCUAGAAAUAGAUGUGUCUAAAUACUAAAACAUGACUAAUACAUUCAUAUCUAGACAAAUCUAAGACAAGAAUUUUGGGACGUACGGAGGAAGUAUUUU